UACGGGGGGGGCAAGCGUUGUUCGGAAUUACUGGGCGUAAAGGGCUCGUAGGUGGCCAAUUAAGUCAGACGUGAAAUCCCCAGGCUCAACCUGGGAACUGCGUCUGAUACUGGUUGGCUUGAAUUCGGGAGAGGGAUGCAGAAUUCCAGGUGUAGCGGUGAAAUGCGUAGAUAUCAGGAGGAACACCGAUGGCGAAGGCAGGUCUCUGGGCCACUACUGACGCUGAGAAGCGAAAGCAUGGGGAGCGAACAGG
rnacentral:rRNA from 1 species